UUUUUUUGGCAGGGGGCUGCCCCUGUGGCAUAUGGAAGUUUCCAGGCUAGGGGUUGAAUCAGAGCUGGAGCUGCCGGCCUAUCCCACAGCUGCAGCAACUCGAGAUCCGAGCCACAUCUGCAACCUACACCACAGCUCACAGGGAUGCUGGAUCCUCAACCAACUGAGUGAGGGCAGCAAAUGAACCCGUACUCUCAUGGAUCCUAGUCGGGUUCAUUACUGCUGAGCCAAGAUGGGAAUUCCCUACGUAUAUCUUUUUGAAUUAGUGUUUUCAUUUCAUUUGGAUAAAUACCCCAAAGUGGAAUUGUUGGAUCAUAUGGUAGUUCUAUUUUUAAUUUUGGGGGGAGCCUCCAUACUGUUUUCCAUAGUGGCUGCACCAAUUUCCAUUCCCACCAACAGUAAGAAGCAUUCCCUUUUCUCCACACCCUCCCCAAGACUCUUUAUCUCUCCUCUUCUUGAUAAUAGCCACAUUCUAACAGGUGUGAGGUGGCUUCUCACUGUGGUUUGAUUUGCAUUUCCCUGAUGGUUGGUGAUGUUGAGCACAUUUUCAUGUACCUAUUGGCCCUCUGAAUAUUUUCUUUGGAAAAAUGUUUAUUCAGAUCCUCUGUCCAUUUUUUAAUUGGAUUGUUUGGUUUUUUUGCUAUUGAGUUGUAUGAGUUCUUUAUACAUUUUGGAGAUGCACCCUGCAUCAGAUAUACGACGUGCCAAUAUCGCCGUCGUUUCUCAUUUGGGCCUUGGAUUAUGCACUUGAAGGAAAAGGAAGCAAGCACAGCGUCCAUGCUCUUCAGAUGGUCUCUUCUCUUCAUCCCCCCUGGGUUUGCCCACAGUCCCAGGGCACACCCCGAAAACGUAACCAAACAGUGGUUCUCAAAUCCAUUGUCUAUACGGUCACCUGAAGAGCCUGGUAAAAAUGGUGAUCCAAAGACCCCACUCAGGAACUGGACUAAAGCAGCUCCUGGAAGUGAGGCCCAAGAGUGUGCAUUUUUUUUUUUUUUUUGUCUUUUUGUCUUUUUGCCAUUUAUUGGGCCGCUCCCGUGGCAUAUGGAGAUUCCCAGACACGCAAGGCUGAUUUAAUAUUUGAAAAUAAAUCAGUGAGAUCUACUAUACUAACAAGCUAAAGAAGAAAAAUCCCAUAUUCAUAUAAAUUGAUGCAGAAAAGAGCAUUUGACAAAAUUCAAUGCCCAUUUGUGAUUUAAAAACACUCAGAAAAAGUGGAAAUGGAGGAACAUUUUCUUAAAAAGAAUAUCUACCAAAAACCACAAAACUCUACUUAAUCUUGAAAGACUGAAUGCUUUCCCAUAAUGUUGGGAACAAGACAAAGACCUCUACUCCUUUUGUUUAUUUGUUUUUUGAGCCAAGCCCUCAACAUGCGGAAGUUCCUGGAUCCAGGAUUGAAUUUUCACCACAGCAGUAACCACAGCCACAGCAGUGGCAACACUAGAUCCUUAACCCACUGAGCCAGGCCGAGGAUUGAAUCCUCACCACCAAAGGCAAUGUCGUAUCCUUAACCCACUGCACCGUAGUAGGAACCCCCAAAGACAUCUACUCUUAACCACUCUUACAAGAGUGCUCAAAGUUCCAGCCAGUGAAGUAAGGCAAGAAAAGGAAAUAAAAGGCAUUCAGACCAGAAAGGAAGAUGUGUUUGCAGUUGACAUGACUGUCCAUGUAGAAAACUGCCAGGAAAUCUACAAAAAUAUUCUCAAACUAAUAAGGGGGUUUAGCAAAGACACAGGUGACAAAAUAAAUAUACAAAAAUCAACUGGAUAUCUAUACACUAGCAAUGAACGCACAGACAUCAAAAUUUUGAAAACAAUACCAUUUACAGUUGUUCACAAAAAGAUGGAAUACUUAGGUGUAAAUCUAACAAAACAUGUAUAGGACUUAUAUGCUGAAAACUGCAAAAUAUUUAUGAAAGAAAUCACAGAGGAUCUAAAUAUAUGAAGAGAACUUCCAUGGUCAUGGAUUGGCAAACUCUGUACAGUAAAGGUGUCAAUUCUCCCCAGUUUGAUAGACAGGUUUAACCCAAUUCCUCUCAAACUCCUAGCGAGACUUUUGUAGAUACAGAUAAGAUUAUUCUAAACUUUAUGUGGGCAGAGUUCCCGUCAUGGCUCAGCAGAAACGAAUCUGACUAGCAUCCAUGAGGACGAAGGUUCGAUCCCUGGUCUUGCUCAGUAGGUUAAGGAUCUGGCAUUGCUGAGGCUGUAGUGUAGGCCAGCGACUACAGCUCCAAUUCGACCCCUCACCUGGGAACCUCCAUAUGCUACAGGUGCAGUCCUAAAAAGACAAAAAAAAAAAAGCUUUAUAUGGGAAGGCAAAGGAACUAGAAUAGCUAAAACAAUUUUGAAAGAGAAGAAUAGAGUGGGAGGAAUCAGUCUACUCAAAUUCAAGACCUAUGAAGCCAAACUAAUCACAAGUGUGUAAUGCUGGUGGAGAGCAGACACGCAGAUCAAUGGAACAGAACAAAGAACCCCCAAAUCGAUCCACACAAAUAUGCUAAACUGGUUUUUGGCAGGUGCAAAAGAAAUUCAAAGGCAGAAAGACAGCCUUUUCAAUGCAUAGUGCUAGUACAACUGGAUACCCAUAGGCAAACAAACAAAAA
rnacentral:lncRNA from 1 species